AGGGAGAAGCAGAAGUUUUAACCAUCUUCCCAUGGCGUCUGACUUUUUUGAGGAAGGAGGUGCUGCAGCAUGGUGGGAGCUCCUGUAGCUGGAAUCUGGCCUCCCGUGUGGGUGUUAGAGGAUGCACCCACGAGCAGAAGCAGUGAGGUUCACAGUGGGGAAAAUGAACCCAGCAGUCCAUCCUAUCCCAUACCUGCCUGAGUACGGGAAGAGACCUCAUACAAGCCAGAAUGCAUCUGGGCUUGCAGCUCUUUUUAAUCAUAUUAAGUCCUAUUCAGAGUUAAUGGUGAGCUCAGUGAGAUGAGAUGGUCUUAGCAAUAUUGAAGAAGGGAUGAAGAGAAUUGGAAGGCAGAGCUAUUUCAAAACAGGAUUCUUCUUCUUUCCAUAAUGCCCAAACAUGAAGACUUUUAAACUUCAUUAGAUCCUGCCAUCAAUGACUGAGCCUCCCUGAAAUCUUCUUAUCAGUUACUGCCAAGAUGAGAAGGAUAACAGGAAGGAGGAGUGCUUAAGUGGCUUUAAUGACAGUUAAUUUCAUCUAUUUAUCAAAUGACAGGUUGUUUUUUCCUCAAAACUCAAUUGUCAUGACAAGAUGCUUUUGCAAGUCAUCUUUGUAAAAUAAAACUGACAAUUUUUAGGCUACAAAGAGCUAUUGUAUCUUUCUAUACAAUGUUGUCAUUAUGGUAAACCUCUGGAAAGUCUUUAUUUUUGAAGUAAUUUAACUUGCAUACUUCAUUCAUUUAUUUGAAUGUCUGUUGAAUGCUAUGUGAAAAGUUUCUUGCCAGAGUUCUUUUAUUCAAUGGAAUAGUUAUUCUUACAAUGCUCAAUUUAUUAUUGUCUAAAUUACUGUUGCCUUAGCCUCCUGCAAAAAUGUUUCUUUUUGGUAAUUCUUAAACAAAUAAGGAAUGAAUGAGGUUUUGUCCCCAUCGUGCUUUGAUCAGCAUAUUUUGCCUUUCAGUAAAAGUGUCUUCAGUUUUCAAAAUGACACAAAGAAAGGUGCUUUCCUAUUCCCCCCCAACAGAACAUCUUUUGUGCAAUAAUUUUUUUAAUAUGUACACUGCCAAGAUGCAAUUACUGGAAGGAGAGAGAGAAGCUGUUGGGAAUGUCGUGUUAUGCCAAAUUAAGAAUUAUUAGCUCUUACUUUCUCUGCAAUCUCUUCGACUAGAACCUGACCUAUUGCGUCUGGCAUAUACUUUGGCUCAAGUGGAACUAAUGUGUCCUUGGAGUAGCAUUUUAGAGUUACUUCAGAUUCAUGUUUUUUUCACAAGUCUGCUUUAAACUGCUGGGAUUAACUUCAGAGAAGGCAAGAGAUACAGCCUCCUUUGUCAGCAGCUGUGCUGGUUAAAGAAGGAGGCUUCUUGCACGCUUGCUUGCUCGCUCUCUCUGGGAGGUUAUUGCCCCUGCUAGGGAAGCAAACUGAACUGCUUCCCUGAGCACACUCAGACUCAUUUCAGCCAAAGUUAAUCGUGUCAUCAAAUAUUAGUUAUCUAUCACCCUGGGUCACUUUGAUGAAAGGGCAGGGAAUACAGAGGCCAGCUGUGAGGACGGUGUGUCUGGGAAGGGUGGUGUGUUGACAAGAGGGUUGUUGAGGACUGGUCCUGGUGUAGCCUUUUCAGCAGGUGCAGUUUGCAUCUCUCGGCUGUUGUAAAAAUUGGACGUGUUAGAAAGCUGUGCAGUUAUGUCAUGUAUAAUAUUCACAUUUCAUGGAUAUCUUGGAUAAUACAAAAUAAACCUGUGC